GAUUAAGCCAUGCAUGUGUUAGUGUAAAUAUCAAAGUUCGGAACUGCGGAUGGCUCAUUAUAUCAGUAAUAGUUUAUUUGGUGAAGUGUACUACUUGGAUAACCGUAGUAAUUCUAGGGCUAAUACAUGAGAAAGUCCUCUGGUGAGGUGUGUUUAUUAGAAUGAAAACCAUAUGCUUCGGCAUGAUAGUGAGUAAUAGUAACCUAUCGUAUCGCAUGCUUAAUGUAGCGAUGAGUCUUUCAAGUUUCUGCCCUAUCAGCUUUCGAUGGUAGUAUAUGGGCCUACCAUG
rnacentral:rRNA from 1 species